rnacentral:rRNA from 1 species
UACGUAGGUGGCAAGCGUUGUCCGGAAUUAUUGGGCGUAAAGCGCGCGCAGGCGGUCCUUUAAGUCUGAUGUGAAAGCCCACGGCUCAACCGUGGAGGGUCAUUGGAAACUGGGGGACUUGAGUGCAGGAGAGAAGAGUGGAAUUCCACGUGUAGCGGUGAAAUGCGUAGAGAUGUGGAGGAACACCAGUGGCGAAGGCGACUCUUUGGCCUGUAACUGACCGCUGAGGCGCGAAAGCGUGGGGAGCAAACAGG